rnacentral:rRNA from 1 species
AGAAUGAACGCUGGCGGCAUGCCUAACACAUGCAAGUCGAACGAAGUCCUUCGGGGCUUAGUGGCGCACGGGUGCGUAACGCGUGGGAAUCUACCCUUAGGUUCGGAAUAACAGUUGGAAACGACUGCUAAUACCGGAUGAUGACGUAAGUCCAAAGAUUUAUCGCCUAGGGAUGAGCCCGCGUAGGAUUAGCUAGUUGGUGUGGUAAAGGCGCACCAAGGCGACGAUCCUUAGCUGGUCUGAGAGGAUGAUCAGCCACACUGGGACUGAGACACGGCCCAGACUCCUACGGGAGGCAGCAGUGGGGAAUAUUGGACAAUGGGCGAAAGCCUGAUCCAGCAAUGCCGCGUGAGUGAUGACGGCCUUGGUUGUAAACCUCUUUCAGCAGGGACGAAGCGAAGUGACGGUACCUGCAGAGAAGCACCGGCCAACUACGCGCCAGCAGCCGC